rnacentral:rRNA from 1 species
CAUGCAGUCGAGCGGAACGAAGGGAGCUUGCUCCCAGGCGUCGAGCGGCGAACGGGUGAGUAACGCGUAGGAAUCUGCCUGGUAGAGGGGGAUAGCUCGGGGAAACUCGAAUUAAUACCGCAUACGCCCUACGGGGGAAAGCAGGGGAUCUUCGGACCUUGCGCUAUCAGAUGAGCCUGCGUCGGAUUAGCUAGUUGGUGGGGUAAAGGCCCACCAAGGCGACGAUCCGUAACUGGUCUGAGAGGAUGAUCAGUCACACCGGAACUGAGACACGGUCCGGACUCCUACGGGAGGCAGCAGUGGGGAAUAUUGGACAAUGGGGGCAACCCUGAUCCAGCCAUGCCGCGUGUGUGAAGAAGGCCUUCGGGUUGUAAAGCACUUUAAGCAGGGAGGAAAGGCGAAAGGCUAAUACCCUUUCGAGUUGACGUUACCUGCAGAAUAAGCACCGGCUAACUUCGUGCCAGCAGCCGCGGUAAUACGAAGGGUGCAAGCGUUAAUCGGAAUUACUGGGCGUAAAGCGCGCGUAGGCGGUUUGAUCAGUUGGAUGUGAAAGCCCAGGGCUCAACCUUGGAACUGCAUUCAAUACUGUCAGGCUAGAGUACGGGAGAGGGGGGUAGAAUUCCACGUGUAGCGGUGAAAUGCGUAGAGAUGUGGAGGAAUACCGGUGGCGAAAGCCGGCCCCCUGGAUCGAUACUGACGCUGAGGUGCGAAAGCGUGGGGAGCAAACAGG